CCUACGGGAGGCAGCAGUAGGGAAUCUUUCACAAUGGGCGAAAGCCUGAUGGAGCAACGCCGCGUGCAGGAUGAAGGCCUUCGGGUUGUAAACUGCUUUUAUAAGCGAGAAAUAUGAUGGUAACUUAUGAAUAAGGAUCGGCUAACUACGUGCCAGCAGCCGCGGUCAUACGUAGGAUCCGAGCAUUAUCCGGAGUGACUGGGUGUAAAGAGUUGCGUAGGUGGCAUAAUAAGUAGCUAGUGAAAUCUGGUGGCUCAACCAUUCAGACUAUUAGCUAAACUGUUAAGCUCGAGACCGUUAGGGGUAACUGGAAUUUCUAGUGUAGGAGUGAAAUCCGUAGAUAUUAGAAGGAAAACCAAUAGCGUAGGCAGGUUGCUGGGACGGUUCUGACACUAAGGCACGAAAGCGUAGGGAGCAAACGGGAUUAGAUACCCGAGUAGUC
rnacentral:rRNA from 1 species